AUUGAACGCUGGCGGCAGGCCUAACACAUGCAAGUCGAGCGAGCGGCGGACGGGUGAGUAAUGUAUGGGGAUCUGCCCGAUAGAGGGGGAUAACUACUGGACACGGUGGCUAAUACCGCAUACUAUCGGAUGAACCCAUAGGGGAUUAGCUAGUCGGUGGGGUAAAGGCUCACCAAGGCGACGAUCCCUAGCUGGUCUGAGAGGAUGAUCAGCCACACUGUGACUGAGACACGGCCAAGACGCCUACGGGAGGCAGCAGUGGGGAAUAUUGCACAAAGGGCGAAAGCCUGGUGCAGCCAUGCCGCGUGUAUGAAGAAGGCCUUAGGGUUGUAAAGAACUUUCAGCGGGGAGGCGUUACCCGCAGAAGAAGCACCUGCUAACUCCGAGCCAGCAGCCGCGGUAAUAC
rnacentral:rRNA from 1 species